rnacentral:ncRNA from 1 species
GCGCCUCUGGAGAGCGGUGGAAUCGACCACCCGCCCACGGGGAAAGUCGGCCGGCAUGUCCGGGCCGGCGAAUCUCUCAGGCGCCGGCGUACGCCCGGCAGGGGACAGAGCGGAG